GGAUCUCUGUUUGGAGAUUCUUCCCUUGUGGAGCUUUUCCUGUGAGCUGAGAUCUUUGGAGACAGAUCUCCAGAUGAUUUGCAGCAUUCAGCUGCCUGCUAAGUUACAGAUGGGGAAGAGCAUCCCAGAGAAUUUUCUAGACUCAGAGGACCUGUGUAUGUAAACCACAGAGAGGAAGAGGGAAAAGUGACUUAAGCAAAAAUGACAACUUGUCCUGUUCUGAUCUAGACUGGAGAAACUGCCUGUAUAUAUAUGUGGAUGACUGGAAGCCUGCCUAAUGCCAAAAGUUUGGCUGCGAUGCUCAAAACCAGACAUUUCAGAGUGUUUUGAUAUCUGUGAACAUGUAAGAAGAAAAUCAUUUGAAACUGUGUUCGCUUGUUCCCGUGCCUUGGAGAAGGUUUAUAAUCGUGCAGCAGAGCAGCCACAACCUGCAAUCAUGAGUUGGAGCUAAUAUCCUCAGAAGAAGGUAACCAUUAUAACCAGCAACCUGCACAGCAUUUCAUCUAUCCCUAGUCAUAGCACGAUGGGAAGCCACACAUUCCCAUCUUUGCCCCAAAACAGCCAGUGUCUAGGAGAAACUUCACGUACCUCAUUGUUUGCCUGCAAAGCCUAGGUUGCAGUGUUGUCAAACCAUGAGAUUCAAGGAAUGGAAACCUGGACUUCUGCACAUUGUACAGA